rnacentral:rRNA from 1 species
GACGAACGCUGGCGGCGUGCCUAGUACAUGCAAGUCGAGCGGACAGAAGGGAGCUUGCUCCCGGAAGUUAGCGGCGGACGGGUGAGUAACACGUGGGCAACCUACCCUGUAGAUCGGGAUAAUAUCGAGAAAUCGGUGCUAAUACCGGAUAAUCAUUUGAAGUGCAUGCUUCGAAUGUAAAAGAUGGCUCCGGCUAUCACUACGGGAUGGGCCCGCGGCGCAUUAGCUAGUUGGUAAGGUAAUGGCUUACCAAGGCAACGAUGCGUAGCCGACCUGAGAGGGUGAUCGGCCACACUGGGACUGAGACACGGCCCAGACUCCUACGGGAGGCAGCAGUAGGGAAUCUUCCGCAAUGGACGAAAGUCUGACGGAGCAACGCCGCGUGAGUGAUGAAGGUUUUCGGAUCGUAAAGCUCUGUUGUUAGGGAAGAACAAGUGCCGUUUGAAUAAGGCGGCACCUUGACGGUACCUAGCCAGAAAGCCACGGCUAACUACGUGCCAGCAGCCGCAGUAAAAC